rnacentral:rRNA from 1 species
AGUGAACGCUGGCGGUAGGCCUAACACAUGCAAGUCGAACGGCAGCACAGUAAGAGCUUGCUCUUACGGGUGGCGAGUGGCGGACGGGUGAGGAAUACAUCGGAAUCUACUUUUUCGUGGGGGAUAACGUAGGGAAACUUACGCUAAUACCGCAUACGACCUACGGGUGAAAGCAGGGGAUCUUCGGACCUUGCGCGAUUGAAUGAGCCGAUGUCGGAUUAGCUAGUUGGCGGGGUAAAGGCCCACCAAGGCGACGAUCCGUAGCUGGUCUGAGAGGAUGAUCAGCCACACGGGAACUGAGACACGUUCCAGACUCCUACGGGAAGCAGCAGUGGGGAAUAUUGGACAAUGGGCGCAAGCCUGAUCCAGCCAUACCGCGUGGGUGAAGAAGGCCUUCGGGUUGUAAAGCCCUUUUGUUGGGAAAGAAAAGCAGCAGGUUAAUACCCCGCUGUUCUGACGGUACCCAAAGAAUAAGCACCGGCUAACUUCGUG